GAAAUGCGAUAAUUAAUGUGAAUUGCAGAAUUCAGUGAAUCAUCGAGUCUUUGAACGCACAUUGCGCCCCCUGGUAUUCCGGGGGGCAUGCCUGUCCGAGCGUCAUUGCUGCCCUCAAGCACGGCUUUGUGUUGGGCUUCCGUCCCUGGCAACGGGGACGGGCCCAAAAGGCAGUGGCGGCACCAUGUCUGGUCCUCGAGCGUAUGGGGCUUUGUCACCCGCUCCCGUAGGUCCAGCUGGCAGCUAGCCUCGCAACCAAUCUUUUUAACCAGGUUGACCUCGGAUCAGGUAGGGAUACCCGCUGAACUUAAGC
rnacentral:misc_RNA from 1 species